rnacentral:rRNA from 1 species
UACGUAGGGUCCGAGCGUUGUCCGGAAUUAUUGGGCGUAAAGGGCUCGUAGGCGGUUUGUCGCGUCGGGAGUGAAAACACGGGGCUUAACCCCGUGCCUGCUUCCGAUACGGGCAGACUAGAGGUAUGCAGGGGAGAACGGAAUUCCUGGUGUAGCGGUGAAAUGCGUAGAUAUCGGCAGGAACACCCAGGGGGAAGCCAGCCGCCUGGGCAAGCGCUGACGCUGAGGUGCGAGAGCGUGGGGAGCGAACCGG